UACGUAGGUGGCUAGCGUUGUCCGGAUUUACUGGGCGUAAAGAGCGCGCAGGCGGUCGUUCAAGUCGAGUGUGAAAGCCCCCGGCUCAACUGGGGAGGGUCACUCGAUACUGAUCGACUUGAAGGCGGGAGAGGGAAGCGGGAAUUCCCGGUGUAGUGGUGAAAUGCGUAGAUAUCGGGAGGAACACCAGUGGCGAAGGCGGCUUUCUGGCCCGUUCUUGGACGCUGAGGCGCGAAAGCUAGGGUAGCAAACGGGG
rnacentral:rRNA from 1 species